UACGUGGGGUGCAAGCGUUGUCCGGAAUUAUUGGGCGUAAAGAGCUCGUAGGCGGUCUGUCGCGUCUGCUGUGAAAACUCGGGGCUUAACCCCGGGCCUGCAGUGGGUACGGGCAGACUAGAGUGCGGUAGGGGAGACUGGAAUUCCUGGUGUAGCGGUGAAAUGCGCAGAUAUCAGGAGGAACACCGGUGGCGAAGGCGGGUCUCUGGGCCGUAACUGACGCUGAGGAGCGAAAGCGUGGGGAGCAAACAGG
rnacentral:rRNA from 1 species